CAACUCUGUGAGCACACUAAAAACCACUAAAUCAUGCACUUUAUGAAUGUUGGGUAUGAGCAUUAUAUCUUAAUAAAGAUGCUAUUAAAAUUUUUGCAGAAUUAAAAAUAUAUUAAAUACAAAAAUCUAUACUGUUGUGUGGAUAUGUAUGUUGAAAGCAGACUCUAAUAGAUUUUGAAAGGUAUUUGAUGGACUAUUUAAGAGUGUAUGGAUGAAAUGGAGUGAGAGGAUCUUUGUUUUAUUUUCUUCUUUUGGCUUGUUUAAAUUUUUAAAUUUUUAAAAUCAUAAACCUACAUUACUUUUGUCCUAAUAAAGAAUUUUAAGGCGUCGGGGAUUUAGCUCAGUGGUUCCGGUGCCUGCCUCACAAGUGCAAGGACCAGAGUUCAAUCCCCAGUACCAAAAAAAAAAAAAAUUUUAAGAUAUUCUAAUAAAUCUAAUGAAUGAAUGCCCAGCUCUGCCUAUAAUAGAAUGGUAUGGUCUUAACCUAAGUUGAUGAAAGAAGAUUAAGGAAAAAUGGGAAAGAUAGGUUUUUACAUAAAGUCCAUCCAGAUGCAGGAUUAUUUGAAGAACUAUACUUAACAAAUGGCUAAAAUUCCAAAAUUAUUUUAUUAAUAGGCACAUGUUAAACCAAAGCCUAAAUUUAAAAGGCUGUUUUCUAUUCAGGCCAGUGACUCUUCCACACUGCCAAGUCAUUUUGCUGAGAUGUUCCAAGGACAUCAGAAACCUCUGCACCAGAGCUGACCUUCUGUCGAUUCCAUUCAAGACUUUGUUCUCACAGUUCUUAUGUUUACAACAAGUGUCUUUUCUUGGCUCCCUCAGUGUUCCUAAAUCAGUUCAAAAUGUUUAUAGCAAUUUCUGUCAAAUGAAAACUUUACGGUGUGUCCUUAUCUACUUUAGUCACCAUAUCCAUAAACUUCUGGCUCUUCCCCAAAGUCAAAGGGACCACAAAAGAGAAACAUUUUGCAUCAAUUCAGAACAUCAAGGCAGCCAUAGGACAGUGCAACUAAAGACAUUCAUGACUUAAUUGAAAAAAUGAAAAAGACAUUCAUGAAAGAGGAAUUCCAGAACUACCCCAGAAAGUGGUAAGAGCAAUGAGGAAAUCUGGGCCCCAUCACAUGACUUACUCCAGGAAGUGGGACACAAGCAAGCAUGAUGCGGGCAGAGGUUUCAUAACCUCUUCUCUGAGGCCUCUCUCUCAUCUUUUUCUGUUAGUUUUAAUUUUUGUUUCCUGAUACAGGGUCACAUUAUGUAGUUCAGGCUGGGCUCGAACUCACUAUGUAGCCCAGGCUGGCCUCGAACUAUCGGCGAUCCUCCUCCCUCAGCCUCCUGAGUGUUGGAAUUACAAGUAUGUACCAUCAUGUAUGCCUGGCUCCUUCACCCUUUUGAAACUCAUAUUCCAAGUUGUGAAGAAAUCUAACAACCAUAGGAGCACGGAGUAGGUGUGAUGAUUCAGGUAUGAGGUGCUGCAGAGCUAUUUUUUAUCCCUAUGGGUCCAGGAGGUCUCUGUGUGGGCUCCAGGGCUGAGGGGCUGGCACAGUGGGUUGGGAGUGCCAUCCCAUGCCGCUCCCACUCCCUUGGGUGUCUUGUGAGUCUCCUUGGGAGCUGCUGCCUGAGUGGAAAUGCAUAGUGGUGAAGAAUGUACUGGAUCCCUGGUCCUCGAGGUGAAGCUGGUGGGACCUGUGGAGGCACUGUGGAUGCUGUAUGCACCCCUGGACUUAGUAGUCUCUAGCGAGGUGGAGAUGCCAACACCGUGUGCAGUGCCCUGGAGGCCGUGUUUAUCCAUGGCCUCUGUGCCAAGCACAUGUGCCAAGGCUGGAAGGAAAGUGCCCACCAGAAGCCUCUGUCUCAGCCUGUCUUCUGGCCUUGACUGAAAGCUGUUGCCCACAGGUGAGAUCAGCUGGAGAGGUUUUCCUUAGAGGGGGUGCUUCCAAGUGUGGGACACUUGGCUCUUUCUCUCCAGACACAAUGUGUUCUAGUGAGGGCCACAGAGUUACAGUUAUCAGCGAGGGGCUUAGGUACCGUCCAGUGGACUCAGGAGCUAGACUGCCUGAGUUGUCCAUUCACCACCUUUCUGACCUUGAAAAGUACCCAUCAUUUCUGACCUUGACUCCUUAUUAGUAAAUGAAGAUAUGAAUUCUUCAAACCAAUGAGGAUUAAAUGAGUCAAAAUAUGGAACAUACGUAGAACAAUCUCUUAGGACAUGGGCACAGUAUUGUCAGAAUUCAGCAAAGCCAGAGUAAACUCUGUGUCAACCAAUGGAUGGAGCUAAGAGACAGAUCCCCAAGCUCUGGGUUCUGGAGUUAUGGUAAGCUAAUCUGGAGGUUUGACAAUCACAUUGGGCAAG
rnacentral:lncRNA from 1 species